rnacentral:misc_RNA from 1 species
UCCGAGUUGACCCCGGCAGUCUCCUGAGAGUGCUCGGCUUGACCCGUUAGCAACUGACGACAAGGGUUGCGCUCGUUGCGGGACUUAACCCAACAUCUCACGACACGAGCUGACGACAGCCAUGCAGCACCUGUGUUCCGGGCUCCGAAGAGAAGGUCACAUCUCUGCGACCGGUCCCGGCCUUUCAAACCUAGGUAAGGUUUUUCGCGUUGCAUCGAAUUAAACCACAUGUUCCACCGCUUGUGCGGGCCCCCGUCAAUUCCUUUGAGUUUCACCCUUGCGAGCGUACUUCCCAGGUGGAGAACUUAACGAGUUAUCUCCGACACUGAUCCCUUGCGGGACCAACAUCAAGUUCUCAUCGUUUAGGGCGUGGACUAC